rnacentral:rRNA from 1 species
CCUACGGGAGGCAGCAGUGGGGAAUAUUGCACAAUGGGGGAAACCCUGAUGCAGCGACGCCGCGUGAGUGAAGAAGUAAUUCGUUAUGUAAAGCUCUAUCAGCAGGGAAGAAAAUGACGGUAACUGAGUAAGAAGCCCCGGCUAACUACGUGCCAGCAGCCGCGGUAAUACGUAGGGGGCAAGCGGUAUCCGGAUUUACUGGGGGUAAAGGGAGCGUAAACGGCAGUGCAAGUCUGGAGUGAAAGGCGGGGGGUCAACCCCCGGACUGCUCUGGAAACUGUACGGCUGGAGUGCAGGAGAGGUAAGUGGAAUUCCGAGUGUAGCGGUGAAAUGCGUAGAUAUUAGGAGGAACACCAGUGGCGAAGGCGGCUUACUGGACUGUAACUGACGUUGAGGCUCGAAAGCGUGGGGAGCAAACAGGAUUAGAUACCCUGGUAGUC